AGUUAAUCAUGUCUCGUCUUUCUUGUAAAGAGAGGACGCCAAACGCAAAGUGAAUGAGUAGAUGUUUUAUCUGAUGCUGUCAGUCGUGGUGUGUUCCGACAAGAUAUCAAGGCAGUCUGAAGUUGCAAGGUAAAAUCUGAUGCAUUAUGCAUAU
rnacentral:sRNA from 1 species